rnacentral:snoRNA from 1 species
AUUUGUGAUUCUAAAGUUUUGACAAUGCAGGGAGAGAAGUUGUGGAAAGCAAUUUCCCGAGUUUGGAGGGUCCGCACCUGUCCCUUUCAAAUGCUGGCGCUUUCCCACA